GGCUCAGCAGAGGUGGUAUAUACUCGAAGAAGUGAUGCAUUUGCUGCUCUGAAGCGCUAUAACAAUGUGUUAUUGGAUGGGAAGCCAAUGAAGAUUGAAAUGCUUGGUGAUAAUGCUGAAAUGCCGGUUUCUGCACGUAUAAAUGUUACUGGAGUGAAUGGAAGAAGCAGGAGGACAGUUGUUCUAACGCCUGAAUCUGGUCGUACUGCUAGUUCUAACGUGGGCAACCCUUUUCCUGGUCCAAGCCAGCGUGGAGGGCUGAGGAAUGCCCUUGGCCGUGGGCGAGGUGGCUGGAACCGUGGUCUAGGUCUAGGUGGAGGAGGCCGUGGCCGAGGGCGUGGUCGUGGCCGUGGCCAGGGCCAGGGAAAAAAGAAACCUGUGGAGAAGUCUUCAGAUGAACUUGACAAGGAGCUUGAAAACUACCAUGCAGAAGCCAUGCAAACCUGAGGAAUUUCAAAUAUGCAAAAAUCGAAGUAUGAUCUGAUUAACCACUUAUGUUAGCUGUGUAAGAAUAUAUAUAGCAUUCUCGGGGGUGAUUAUUUAUUUUAUUUUAAUUUUUGUUCCAGUAGACUAGAUUUGUAUUUUGCCUGUUAAUGGAGA
rnacentral:misc_RNA from 1 species